GAACUGUGAAACUGCCAUUGAUAGUGCAGGUCUUGAGUGAGGUGGAAGUAGCUGCAAUAAGUAGUGUAGCGGUGAAAUGCAUAGAUAUGACUUAGAACGCCAAUUGCGAUGGCAGGUUCCUACGCAACAACUGACGCUGAUGGACGAGAGCGUGGAGAGCGAACAGGAUCCGAUACCUUGGUCGUCCACACCGUAAACGAUGCUAACUCGUUUUUGGAGCGCAAGCUUCAGAGAGUAAGCGAAAGUGAUAAGUUACCCACGUGGGGAGUACGAACGCAAGUUUGAAACUCAAAGGAAUGGGCGGCGGCCCGCACGAGCGGUGGAUUAUGUGGUUUAAUUCGAUGAUACGAGACCAACCUCACCUAGGCUUAAAUGGGAAAUGACAGGUUUAGAAAUAGUCUUUUCUUGGGACAUUUUUCAAGGUGCUGCAUGGUUGUCGUCAGCUCGUGCCGUGAGGUGUUAGGUUAAGUCCUGCAACGAGCGCAACCCCUGUCACUAGUUGCCAUCAUUAAGUUGGGCACUCUAGUGAGACUGCCUAUGCAAAUCGGGAGGAAGGUGGGGAUGACGUCAAAUCAUCAUGGCCCUUAUGCCUUGGGCCACACACGUAAUACAAUGGCCGGUACAGAGGGCAGCCACACUGCGAGGUGAUGCAAAUCUCGAAAACCCGUUUCA
rnacentral:rRNA from 1 species